GAGAGAAGCAGAGAAUGGAUAGCUCACUGAAUGACCUAGGAGCUUCUUUAAAUGAUUGUUUAAGCAUGUGAUGAGAUUUUUCAAUCUGCCCCAAUAUAGAGCAUCUCUAUAGCCCUCCUGGAGUAAAUGAUGUACGUAAAGAUAUGUGCGUGAGAUUUCUGUGCUUCAUACAUCCAGAGAAACCAAACUCCAGUUUGCUGAGAGCUUUUCAGCACAUAAACAAUCUCCAUGGCAAAGAUUCUUAUGCAAUGUAUGAGAUACAUGUAAAAAUACAUCAAAUGUGA
rnacentral:lncRNA from 12 species